rnacentral:lncRNA from 1 species
UGCAGGAUAAGGGAGCGUGGUUUCUUUAAUUCCUCCAUUGUUGAUGACGACUUGACUGAGAUCCAGCCGACUGGCUGCACAAGUCUGCCGGGACGCAAUAAAGAAACCAAUCUCGCUUUUAGUUACCAUAAUCAACACCCUAGGCAGGAUCCCCAAGCUAACAGAAAGCACCUUCUUGCAGCCAUUAUCAACCUUAUCCUUCCUCAUCCGCGGGGAUAAACCUCCUUUUCUUAGACCGGGAUAAGAUGCUUAUCUGAAGCAGCCAGAGGACGUCGUUUUCACAUGCUCCCCAAUCAGGCUACCAUUGAUCUGCACAGAAUAACUGCCACUGGCGUCAAUUUCUUCCUUCCUGUGAACAGCCAAGAGACGGAAUUCAUAAGUAAUAAGAAAUAUUGAUACACAGAUCUAUCAGGCCACAUGGAGUAAGGGUAACUAUCACUUACUCUCUGGCGCCGAGUUGAUGGAGCCUAUCUGAUUAAAACAAGAUGCAUAUCUAUCUACCCGUUUGAGCAGCUAUCUCUUCCUACGUCUCUAU